GCCCCCACCAUCGACCACUUCCCCUCCUCGAGCCAGCGCUAACCAUGCUGGAUUCUACCCCCACCAACGAGCCUCGUCCUCCCUCGCUCGCGCCCCCUACUAUUCGACUCUUUCCUACUUCAGCCAGGACCUCGAAGACUCCCAGCUGGUUUUCUCUUGGAUUUCGACGAAUAGUUUAGGUAUCUGGCUUUUACUUCAACCCUUCUGCCGGUUAUGUCGAGAGUACGUGACUUUUCCUUGGUUAAUCCUCGUAUCUAUUCUCAGCGGUACCCAUGCGAGAAUCAGAACUUGAAGAUAGCUGUGAACAAUUUCACGUUGUCCAAAUCACUGUCAGGACGAAUAUAUAGAAUGAAAUCGGUAAUUGGAUAUCGUUCUCAAAGGAUUAAAGUCAAAAGAUGCUUACGAAAUUAACCAUGGUGGUUUUUGGAUGUACCGUGUGGGUGAACCUAGCAUUAGAGAGGCUAAUUGCGUCUCUCUUGUUGCCAAGCUUUGCAUUUAUUACCACAGUAAAAUUCAGGUUGUGUAGAGGAUUAUGUAUCAGGGAUCAAUAUGAAUAGCGACGUCCACUAUCGUCUGCCACCGGCAUUUGCCCGUUAGCUGUAAACACGACACCAACGUGGUGCCACCGGCAUCUGUCUGUCAUCUUGUAACCGACACCAAUGUGCUGCCACCGAAUGACACGGCGGACUACCACGAAACUCCGGCGCGUGUACAACCUCAAAGGGUAUUCAAUAAAACAUGGCCAUUGAAAGGAAUGAGGCGCUACGGAGAGGAGUUCCCUUGCAAAUAACGUAAACAGUAUUGUCGAUGAUAGGAAUUGUCGCGCCUGCAGCGCGCUUCGAGCCGCAGCUUCCGAAGUUGGGCGAUAUCUUCGAUGAAAGGAUUCUCCAAGGCACUUAUCGCGGUGCAGGAAAACUGCAUAUUUAUGGAAACUGCGUUCUUCUAGUAUGCUGUAAACAGCCUGGCACCAGACUUCAUAACUUGAACAGUUCUAAGAGAAGAAACGUGAGACCGAUCAUAUUAACCGGCAUGGUAGGUUUAGCGUUAAAAACGCAACGGUGUGUCGACACAUUGCUACGAGAACUUACGUUACGAAAUUCUU